rnacentral:tRNA from 2 species
GGGGGCAUAGCUCAGUGGGAGAGCGCAUCAAUCGCACUGAUGAGGUCGGGGGUUCGAAUCCCCCUGCCUCCA